rnacentral:misc_RNA from 1 species
GAUGAAGAACGUAGCGAAAUGCGAUAAGUAGUGUGAAUUGCAGAAUUCAGUGAAUCAUCGAAUCUUUGAACGCACAUUGCGCCCCCUGGUAUUCCGGGGGGCAUGCCUGUCCGAGCGUCAUUGCAACCCUCAAGCGCGGCUUGUGUGUUGGGCUUCGUCCCCCCGUGGACGUGCCCGAAAGGCAGUGGCGGCGUCCCGAAUGGUGCCCGAGCGUAUGGGAACUCUCUUCCGCUCGAACCGGCCCAUUCGGCGCUGGUCGAACCCCAAUUUUUUUUUACCGGUUGACCUCGGAUCAGGUAGGGAUACCCGCUGAACUUAAGCAUAUCAAUAAGCGGAGGA